UACGGAGGGGGCUAGCGUUGUUCGGAAUUACUGGGCGUAAAGCGCACGUAGGCGGCUUUGUAAGUUAGAGGUGAAAGCCCGGGGCUCAACUCCGGAAUUGCCUUUAAGACUGCAUCGCUAGAAUUGUGGAGAGGUAAGUGGAAUUCCGAGUGUAGAGGUGAAAUUCGUAGAUAUUCGGAAGAACACCAGUGGCGAAGGCGGCGACCUGGUCCAUUACUGACGCUGAGGCGCGACAGCGUGGGGAGCAAACAGG
rnacentral:rRNA from 1 species